rnacentral:miRNA from 1 species
AUUGGACUUGGAGUCAGAAGACUUGGGUCUGAGUCCCGACUCUGCCACUCAUUAGCUAUGUGGCAUUGGAAGAGUCAUUUAGCCUCUCUG